GACGAUCCAUGGGGUCCUUUGCCCCGUGUCACCCAGGCGGCCGGUUGCCCUCUCCAAAAUAACCAAAAGUAUUUCUUCUGUGUCCUUCCGAGCAAGUACUUUUCUCUCGUCUUUCUCUUUGUGGACAGAGGUCUUGUUUGUCUUUUCCAGGAGACACUGGAGGAGUCUUAAUAUUCAAAUCCCAAAGGGGAUAGAUUCUAAGAUGGCACCUGUGCUCCUGUCUGCUGAGGUCUCAGGCAGGGGAGGACCCAGAGGCUCAGAGGCAAGAUGUCGAUUCUCAAAGGGAUUUCCACCACAAAAGAUAGCUAAUGCCGACUGUCUUUCAUCUUGCCCCAGACUCCCGUCCUCAGCAGCUGAGCCCUGGUUCCUCUGUGAUGUGCUGUGAGAAAAUGUUACUCCUCCCUUUAUAGUAGAGAUUGGCACUUUUUCUAUAAAAGGCCAGAGAGUAAAUAUCUUUGGCUUGUGGGCCAAGAGGCAAAAUGGAGGAUAUUAUGUAGGUACAUAUAUAAC
rnacentral:lncRNA from 1 species